AGUUGAGUGGAAAUGGGCAACGGCGGGCGGAGCGGCCUGCAGCAGGGGAAGGGGAACGUGGAUGGGGUGGCAGCGACUCCUACUGCUGCCUCGGCCUCCUGCCAGUACAGGUGCAUCGAAUGCAACCAGGAGGCCAAAGAGUUGUACCGAGACUAUAACCACGGUGUGCUGAAGAUAACCAUCUGUAAAUCCUGCCAGAAACCUGUAGACAAAUAUAUCGAGUAUGAUCCUGUUAUCAUCUUGAUUAAUGCUAUAUUGUGCAAAGCUCAGGCCUACAGACAUAUUCUUUUCAAUACUCAAAUAAAUAUCCAUGGAAAACUCUGCAUAUUUUGUUUGCUUUGUGAAGCAUACCUGAGGUGGUGGCAGCUUCAAGAUUCCAACCAGAAUACUGCCCCUGAUGACUUGAUCAGAUAUGCUAAGGAAUGGGAUUUCUAUAGAAUGUUUGCGAUUGCUGCUUUAGACAGGGUCUCACUCUGUUGCCUAGGCUGGAGUGCAGUGGCACAGUCACAGCUCACUGCAGCCCUGAACUCCUGGGCUCAAGCAAUCCUCCUGCCUCGGCCCCCCCAGGUAGCUGGAACCACAGAACAAACUGCCUAUUUUAUUGGCAUUUUUACCUUCCUGUGGGUAGAACGGCCCAUGACGGCAAAAAAAAAGCCCAACUUCAUUUUGCUGCUGAAAGCAUUAUUAUUAUCUAGCUACGGAAAACUCUUGCUGAUUCCAGCUGUCAUUUGGGAACAUGACUACACAUCUGUGUGCCUCAAACUCAUUAAAGUAUUUGUUCUUACAUCAAAUUUUCAGGCAAUUAGAGUGACCCUAAACAUCAACCGUAAGCUCUCCUUCUUGGCCGUGUUGAGUGGCUUACUGCUGGAAAGCAUCAUGGUCUACUUCUUCCAGAGUAUGGAAUGGGAUGUUGGAAGUGAUUAUGCCAUCUUUAAAUCUCAGGACUUCUGAAGAGGUCCUGCAGUGCCCUUGUCUCCACCUAACCAGAUACGGUCAGCUUUGCCUCUCCAUGGAAUAAGUGAAGACUUUCCAAAAACUCCAGUUUGCAGUGCUUACUUUUUCCGUUGACCUCCGAGUGCUCAGCUUAACACCUACAGCAGUCACGUGCCCAAGAACUUCUGACAUUGCCCCAGGUUUUAUUCUUCUUCACUAUCUGUGGCAUGACCAGCUGUAUCUGAAAGAGAAAAGACAUGAAAUAUAAACCAACCUCCUCAUUUCUGUUGAGUAAAAUGAAGCAAAGAUUGGAAACACUUUCUGAAAAAGAAAGCAAUGAUAAUAGCGGUGGAUACCCACCCCCACAAAUGCACCCAAGAGACAAGCCAUUUACAUACAGAUAUUCACAGUCACACAUAGAAACACCCACAUGGACACAAGGAAUGUUGCUGCAGAGACUGAAUGACAUGCAACAGGUGAAGGUUUAUACGUUAUACACAAGGCCAGGUAAGCGCUCAUAAUUCACACAUAAUAAAACAUCUAGGUUUCAUUCCUUUGACAUGUUUAUAUCUUUUUAAUUUAAAUGUUGUUACUGGCUUAAAAUAUUUUGUGUUCUUACAAUAGAAACGCUUUUAAUAAAGUCUUUCAGAAUAAACCAAGUUUUUGUAAAUUUUCAAUUCAAUAAUUAAGGUAAUCUUUAAAAUUGGAUGAUCCAAAAAUAAGUGAUAAUGAAAACCACUGAGUUAUAUACUUUGCAAGGGUAAAUUACAUCUGAAUAAAGCUGUAAUUAAAAACAA